rnacentral:rRNA from 1 species
UACGUAGGUGACAAGCGUUGUCCGGAUUUACUGGGCGUAAAGAGCGCGCAGGCGGUCGAUCAAGUCGAGUGUGAAAGCCCCCGGCUCAACUGGGGAGGGUCAUUCGAUACUGUUCGACUCGAAGGCAGGAGAGGGAAGUGGAAUUCCCGGUGUAGUGGUGAAAUGCGUAGAUAUCGGAAGGAACACCAGUGGCGAAGGCGGCCCCCUGGUUGGAUACUGACGCUGAUACGCGAAAGCGUGGGGAGCAAACAGG